rnacentral:rRNA from 1 species
GACGAACCGUGCAAACGUUGUUCGGAAUCACUGGGCUUAAAGGGCGCGUAGGCGGGUUGCCAAGUCUGUGGUGAAAGCCCCCGGCUUAACCGGGGAAGUGCCCGUGGAUACUGGCGAUCUCGAGGAGGGUAGGGGCAUCUGGAACGUUGGGUGGAGCGGUGAAAUGCGUUGAUAUCCAACGGAACUCCGGUGGCGAAGGCGAGGUGCUGGACCCUUCUGACGCUGAGGCGCGAAAGCCAGGGGAGCAAACGGG